UCCCAGAGAAGCUGUGGGAUCCUUGAUAUGUAAAUUCAAAGGCGAUCACUCACCAAGACAUUGCAGCCAUGCAGAGCCAAAAUGAGGCAUCAGGACAGACACAUGAUCAUCAGAA